rnacentral:rRNA from 1 species
UCCUACGGGAGGCAGCAGUAGGGAAUCUUCCACAAUGGGGGAAACCCUGAUGCAGCAACGCCGCGUGAGUGAAGAAGUAUUUCGGUAUGUAAAGCUCUAUCAGCAGGGAAGAGAAUGACGGUACCUGACUAAGAAGCCCCGGCUAACUACGUGCCAGCAGCCGCGGUAAUACGUAGGGGGCGAGCGUUAUCCGGAUUUACUGGGUGUAAAGGGAGCGUAGACGGUUCUGCAAGUCUGAAAUGAAAGC